GAAACUCGAGCUAAUACCGCAUACGCCCUACGGGGGAAAGCGGAGGACCUUUCGGGGCUUCGCGCUAUUGGAUGAGCCUAAGCCGGAUUAGCUAGUUGGUAGGGUAAAAGCCUACCAAGGCGACGAUCCGUAGCUGGUCUGAGAGGACGAUCAGCCACACUGGGACUGAGACACGGCCCAGACUCCUACGGGAGGCAGCAGUGGGGAAUAUUGGACAAUGGGCGAAAGCCUGAUCCAGCAAUGCCGCGUGUGUGAAGAAGGCCUGCGGGUUGUAAAGCACUUUCAGUAGAGAAGAAAAGUUUAGGGUUAAUACCCCUGAAUCUUGACGUUACCUACAGAAGAAGCUCCGGCUAACUCCGUGCCAGCAGCCGCGGUAAUACGGAGGGAGCGAGCGUUAAUCGGAAUUACUGGGCGUAAAGCGCGCGUAGGCGGCUUUGUAAGUCGGAUGUGAAAGCCCUGGGCUCAACCUGGGAAUUGCAUUCGAUACUGCAGAGCUAGAGUAUGGUA
rnacentral:rRNA from 1 species